rnacentral:rRNA from 1 species
ACAAACGCUGGCGGCGUGUAUUAGGCAUGCAAGUCGCACGAUCACUUCGGUGAUAGUGGCGGACGGGUGAGUAACACGUGGGUAACCUGCCUCGUAGUGGGGAAUAACUCGCCGAAAGGCGAGCUAAUACCGCAUAUUACUCCCGGUGAAAGUCCGGGAAGUAAAAGCUCCGGCGCUACGAGAGGGGCUCGCGGCCGAUUAGCUAGUUGGUGGGGUAAAGGCCUACCAAGGCGACGAUCGGUAGCUGGUCUGAGAGGAUGGUCAGCCACACGGGGACUGAGAUACGGCCCCGACUCCUACGGGAGGCAGCAGCUAAGAAUCUUGCGCAAUGGGCGAAAGCCUGACGCAGCAACGCCGCGUGGGGGACGAAGGCCCUCGGGUCGUAAACCCCUUUUGCGAGGGAAGAAGUUCUGACGGUACCUCGCGAAUAAGACACGGCUAACUACGU